AGGUGUCCUAAGAUCAUUUUGGUUAAGGAGAUGAAUUAUAUGAAAACUAUAUCCGCAUGGGUUCUAAGGAUGUUGUUCUACACAUUCGACCUAUCCGAUCGUCGGGUACCAUUGCUAGAUGGUCACUUCGAUUGGUACAAAAAUUUAUUUUUAUGCUACCGACUUAGGUUUGGACCUAUGAAGUCAUACACAUUAGAGUUCAUGAUCUGAUCGGAUGGUUGAUCAAUGAUUAAGAAUCAUUCUAGGGUUAAAUGAUCAAUACGAUUGACAUUUAACCUAGUGCAAGUAUUGCUGGAGGAUCGAUUAACAAUUCGAUUGCUAAUUGGCUUAAUUUGAUUAAGCCAAUGGGCUGAGAUUAAGUUUAAUUGAAUAUGAUUUAAUUAGAUUUAGUUUGGGCUUGAUUGGAUCAAGUCCAAUUGGUUUAUUGGAUAAGUCAAGUGCA
rnacentral:lncRNA from 1 species